rnacentral:rRNA from 1 species
UACGUAGGGGGCGAGCGUUGUCCGGAUUUAUUGGGCGUAAAGAGCUCGUAGGCGGUUUGGUAAGUUGGAUGUGAAAUCUCCAGGCUCAACUUGGAGGGGUCAUUCGAUACUGCCAUGACUAGAGUUCGUUAGGGGAGUGUGGAAUUCCUGGUGGAGCGGUGAAAUGCGCAGAUAUCAGGAGGAACACCCGUAGCGAAGGCGGCACUCUGGGCCGGAACUGACGCUGAGGAGCAAAAGCGUGGGGAGCGAACAGG